AGAACGAACGCUGGCGGCAUGCCUAACACACGCAAGUCGAACGAGACCUUCGGGUCUAGUGGCGCACGGGUGCGUAACGCGUGGGAAUCUGCCCUUGGGUUCGGGAUAACAGUUGGAAACGACUGCUAAUACCGGAUGAUGACUUCGGUCCAAAGAUUUAUCGCCCAGGGAUGAGCCCGCGUAGGAUUAGCUAGUUGGUGAGGUAAAGGCUCACCAAGGCGACGAUCCUUAGCUGGUCUGAGAGGAUGAUCAGCCACACUGGGACUGAGACACGGCCCAGACUCCUACGGGAGGCAGCAGUGGGGAAUAGUUGGACAAGUGGGACGAAAG
rnacentral:rRNA from 1 species